rnacentral:rRNA from 1 species
GGACCCGCACAAGUAGUGGAGCAUGUGGUUUAAUUCGAAGCAACGCGCAGAACCUUACCAGCCCUUGACAUGUGGAGUUUGGUUUCCGGAGACGGAUUCCUUCAGUUCGGCUGGCUCCCACACAGGUGUUGCAUGGCUGUCGUCAGCUCGUGUCGUGAGAUGUUGGGUUAAGUCCCGCAACGAGCGCAACCCUCAUCUUUAGUUGCCAUCAGUUAGGCUGGGCACUCUAGAGAAACUGCCUGCGAUGAGCAGGAGGAAGGCGGGGAUGACGUCAAGUCCUCAUGGCCCUUAUGGACUGGGCUACACACGUGCUACAAUGGCGGUGACAAUGGGCAGCGAAGGGGCGACCUGGAGCAAAUCCCAAAAAGCCGUCCCAGUUCGGAUUGUACUCUGCAACUCGAGUGCAUGAAGUUGGAAUCGCUAG